UCAAUAACUAACUUCUGUCAUAUUCUGGCUGCUUAUUGUAUUACACCACGAUAAGGUCUAACAGCCAUUUUAACCUAGUUUGUUUUCGGCGAGUAAACAAGUACAAGUUUCUACAGUGGCUUACUUGACAAUUAUUUUGUACACAAGCAGGUGAGUAAAUCGUUCUUAAUUAUUACCGAACAUAUUAUAAGUUGAUAUAACAUUGACAUGGAUAAUGUUUACAAUUAGAGAUAGAAAAUAGCUCGCUUUUAAAGUAACGUUUAAUUACUUGUCAGGAUUUGGUGACCUGUCAUCGUUCAGUGGCAAAGAUGCUGGUUUUGAAAGAUGCAUCCGAUUGAUAUUUUGUGCAUCUGUUCUUUCAAAGAUGUCCACCAUUGCCAGUGGCUCAACUUUACGUCACUGCUAUGCUAUUUGGUGCACCAAUGGAGACUACACGUUACAGAAGUGGAGGCCAAGUUUAUGUGAUGAACAUGAGGCAAAUCAGAACUCGAUUCUACUUUCCAACAAAGAGACCCCGAAGGACGAUACAGAUGGCUGAAAGUACUGAGACGAGCAGAGCCUCAAGUCACUCGAAUCAAGCAAGGAUCACUCAGAGCACUUUGUAGAAGGUCCGCCAACUAAAGAACAUCCAGGUCCAGAAAUCAAUAUAGGUCAAAGUAGGAAGAGGCCAGAUACAGGAAAGUCAGGUGGAGAACGAAGCAAAACGAGAGUUAAGAUAGCUGAAACACAAGCCAAUCAAGGACAAUGUAACAGUACACAUUAUGUGGCAGAAGCGAAGGCAGAUAAUGGCAGUCUAGUCACUCCAGAUCCAUUCUUGACAUCGGGAGUAAUAUAUAUAUUAUCUUGGCUGUCAUUUGAAUAGUUAGGGCUGAAAAUCAGACACUCAAGAUGGAGAAUCCAGAGUCGAGACAUCACGUAGUUUAUCUCAAGAAAAGUUAAAGGAAAAAUAACGUACUUAAAAAUCACCUGACAUUUAUUCAUCGUUGCUCAAGAGCGAAUCAGAUACAGGAUUCGAUUCUGAGGGAUAAGUGGUUGUAUUGCUAGUGUAUUAACAGCAAACGAAUGACAAACGGAGUUUGUUUACUCGCAAA